rnacentral:rRNA from 1 species
UACGUAGGUGGCAAGCGUUGUCCGGAUUUACUGGGCGUAAAGGGCGUGCAGGCGGUUUGUUAAGUGCAGGGUGAAAGCUCCCGGCUCAACUGGGAGAGGUCCUUGCAUACUGGCAGACUUGAGGGAGGCAGAGGAAAGUGGAAUUCCCGGUGUAGUGGUGAUAUGCGUAGAUAUCGGGAGGAACACCGGUGGCGAAGGCGGCUCUCUGGACCGAGACUGACGCUGAGGCGCGAAAGCGUGGGAGCAAACAGG